CAGUCGCGCGGUAAUACGAAGGGUGCAAGCGUUACUCGGAAUUACUGGGCGUAAAGCGUGCGUAGGUGGUGGUUUAAGUCCGUUGUGAAAGCCCUGGGCUCAACCUGGGAAUUGCAGUGGAUACUGGAUCACUAGAGUGUGGUAGAGGAUAGUGGAGUUACCGGUGUAGCAGUGAAAUGCGUAGAGAUCGGAAGGAACAUCUGUGGCGAAGGCGACUAUCUGGGCCAACACUGACACUGAGGCACGAAAGCGUGGGGAGCAAACAGGAUUAGAUACCCCAGUAGUCCAUGUCUCUUAUACC
rnacentral:rRNA from 1 species